GACGAACGCUGGCGGCGUGCCUAAUACAUGCAAGUAGAACGCACAGUUUAUACCGUAGCUUGCUACACCAUAAACUGUGAGUUGCGAACGGGUGAGUAACGCGUAGGUAACCUGCCUGGUAGCGGGGGAUAACUAUUGGAAACGAUAGCUAAUACCGCAUAAUAUUGAUUAUUGCAUGAUAAUUGAUUGAAAGAUGCUAUUGCAUCACUACCAGAUGGACCUGCGUUGUAUUAGCUAGUAGGUGAGGUAACGGCUCACCUAGGCGACGAUACAUAGCCGACCUGAGAGGGUGAUCGGCCACACUGGGGCUGAGACACGGCCCAGACUCCUACGGGAGGCAGCAGUAGGGAAUCUUCGGCAAUGGACGAAAGUCUGACCGAGCAACGCCGCGUGAGUGAAGAAGGUUUUCGGAUCGUAAAGCUCUGUUGUAAGAGAAGAACGGGUGUGAGAGUGGAAAGUUCACACUGUGACGGUAUCUUACCAGAAAGGGACGGCUAACUACGUG
rnacentral:rRNA from 1 species